rnacentral:rRNA from 1 species
UACGGGGGGAGCAAGCGUUGUUCGGAUUUACUGGGCGUAAAGGGCGCGUAGGCGGCCACCGCAAGUCGACUGUGAAAUCUCCGGGCUUAACCCCGGAAAGGUCAGCCGAUACUGCGGGGCUAGAGUGCAGAAGGGGCAACUGGAAUUCUCGGUGUAGCGGUGAAAUGCGUAGAUAUCGAGAGGAACACCUGCGGCGAAGGCGGGUUGCUGGGCUGACACUGACGCUGAAGCGCGAAAGCUAGGGGAGCGAACGGG